rnacentral:rRNA from 1 species
AGAGUUUGAUCAUGGCUCAGAUUGAACGCUGGCGGCAGGCUUAACACAUGCAAGUCGAACGAUGAUUAUCUAGCUUGCUAGAUAUGAUUAGUGGCGGACGGGUGAGUAACAUUUAGGAAUCUGCCUAGUAGUGGGGGAUAGCUCGGGGAAACUCGAAUUAAUACCGCAUACGACCUACGGGUGAAAGGGGGCGCAAGCUCUUGCUAUUAGAUGAGCCUAAAUCAGAUUAGCUAGUUGGUGGGGUAAAGGCCCACCAAGGCGACGAUCUGUAACUGGUCUGAGAGGAUGAUCAGUCACACCGGAACUGAGACACGGUCCGGACUCCUACGGGAGGCAGCAGUGGGGAAUAUUGGACAAUGGGGGCAACCCUGAUCCAGCCAUGCCGCGUGUGUGAAGAAGGCCUUUUGGUUGUAAAGCACUUUAAGCAGGGAGGAGAGGCUAAUGGUUAAUACCCAUUAGAUUAGACGUUACCUGCAGAAUAAGCACCGGCUAACUCUGUGCCAGCAGCCGCGGUAAUACAGAGGGUGCGAGCGUUAAUCGGAAUUACUGGGCGUAAAGCGAGUGUAGGUGGCUCAUUAAGUCACAUGUGAAAUCCCCGGGCUUAACCUGGGAACUGCAUGUGAUACUGGUGGUGCUAGAAUAUGUGAGAGGGAAGUAGAAUUCCAGGUGUAGCGGUGAAAUGCGUAGAGAUCUGGAGGAAUACCGAUGGCGAAGGCAGCUUCCUGGCAUAAUAUUGACACUGAGAUUCGAAAGCGUGGGUAGCAAACAGGAUUAGAUACCCUGGUAGUCCACGCCGUAAACGAUGUCUACUAGCCGUUGGGGUCCUUGAGACUUUAGUGGCGCAGUUAACGCGAUAAGUAGACCGCCUGGGGAGUACGGCCGCAAGGUUAAAACUCAAAUGAAUUGACGGGGGCCCGCACAAGCGGUGGAGCAUGUGGUUUAAUUCGAUGCAACGCGAAGAACCUUACCUGGUCUUGACAUAGUGAGAAUCCUGCAGAGAUGCGGGAGUGCCUUCGGGAAUUCACAUACAGGUGCUGCAUGGCUGUCGUCAGCUCGUGUCGUGAGAUGUUGGGUUAAGUCCCGCAACGAGCGCAACCCUUUUCCUUACUUGCCAGCAUUUCGGAUGGGAACUUUAAGGAUACUGCCAGUGACAAACUGGAGGAAGGCGGGGACGACGUCAAGUCAUCAUGGCCCUUACGGCCAGGGCUACACACGUGCUACAAUGGUCGGUACAAAGGGUUGCUACCUAGCGAUAGGAUGCUAAUCUCAAAAAGCCGAUCGUAGUCCGGAUUGGAGUCUGCAACUCGACUCCAUGAAGUCGGAAUCGCUAGUAAUCGCGGAUCAGAAUGCCGCGGUGAAUACGUUCCCGGGCCUUGUACACACCGCCCGUCACACCAUGGGAGUUUGUUGCACCAGAAGUAGGUAGUCUAACCGCAAGGAGGACGCUUACCACGGUGUGGCCGAUGACUGGGGUGAAGUCGUAACAAGGUAGCCGUAGGGGAACCUGCGGCUG